AUACGUAGGUGGCAAGCGUUGUCCGGAAUUAUUGGGCGUAAAGAGCGCGUAGGCGGGAUAACAAGUCUAUCUUAAAAGUGCGGGGCUCAACCCCGUGAGGGGAUAGAAACUGUUAUCCUUGAGUGCAGGAGAGGGAAGUGGAAUUCCCAGUGUAGCGGUGAAAUGCGUAGAUAUUGGGAGGAACACCAGUGGCGAAGGCGGCUUUCUGGACUGUGUCUGACGCUGAGGCGCGAAAGCCAGGGGAGCGAACGGGAUUAGAUACCCCGGUAGUCCUGGCCGUAAACGAUGGGUACUAGGUGUAGGAGGUAUCGACCCCUUCUGUGCCGCAAGCAAACGCAAUAAGUACCCCGCCUGGGGAGUACGGCCGCAAGGUUGAA
rnacentral:rRNA from 1 species